rnacentral:RNase_P_RNA from 1 species
GGUGAAACGGUGGGGUAAGAGCCCACCGCAGGGAUGGUAACAGACCUGACAGGGUAAACCCCAUCCGGAGCAAAGCCAAAUAGUCGGGGAGGUGCUGGCAACGAAGGGACCGUGAUGACCCCCUUCGCGAUGCACCACGUGGUUGUCCGCCGCGUUUGCACCCGUGGGUAGGCUGCGUCGAGCGCCGUUGAGAGACGACGCCAAGAUCGAUGACCGUCACCUUCGUGAAGAAGGAACAGAAUUCGGCUUACAGACCGCCUCGCGCU